rnacentral:rRNA from 1 species
GAUGAACGCUGGCUACAGGCUUAACACAUGCAAGUCGAGGGGAAACGCCGGGGAAUCUUGCUUCCCCGGGCGUCGACCGGCGCACGGGUGAGUAACGCGUAACCAACCUGUCUCUGACUGAGGGAUAACCCAUCGCAAGUCGACCUAAUACCACUUUGCUUCAUCUCCUGGCUUCAAACUACGAUUCAGGAUUUCAUCGGUCAGAGAUGGGGUUGCGUCUGCUUAGCUUGUUGGCGGGGUAACGGCCUACCAAGGCGACGAUCAGAAGGGGUUCUGAGAGGAAGGACCCUGACAUUGGAACUGAGACACGGUCCCAACUCGUACGGGAGGCAGCAGUGAGGAAUAUUGGUCAAUGGGCGAGAGCCUGAACCAGCCAGGGAGCGAGCAGGAUGACGGCACUAUGGGUUGCAAACUGCAUUUAUGCGGGAAUAAAGUGAGGGACGUGCCCUUCAUGGCAGGUCCCGCACAAAUAAGGACCGCCUAAUUCGGG